rnacentral:rRNA from 1 species
GACGAACGCUGGCGGCGUGCUUAACACAUGCAAGUCGAGCGGUAAGGCCUCUUCGGGGGUACACGAGCGGCGAACGGGUGAGUAACACGUGGGUGACCUGCCCUCAGCUCUGGGAUAAGCCUGGGAAACUGGGUCUAAUACCGGAUAUGACCUUUCCUCGCAUGGGGUUUGGUGGAAAGUUUUUUCGGCUGGGGAUGGGCCCGCGGCCUAUCAGCUUGUUGGUGGCGUGAUGGCCUACCAAGGCGACGACGGGUAGCCGGCCUGAGAGGGCGACCGGCCACACUGGGACUGAGACACGGCCCAGACUCCUACGGGAGGCAGCAGUGGGGAAUAUUGCGCAAUGGGCGGAAGCCUGACGCAGCGACGCCGCGUGGGGGAUGACGGCCUUCGGGUUGUAAACCUCUUUCGACCCCGACGAAUUUGGACGGUAGGGGUAGAAGAAGCACCGGCCAACUACGUG